rnacentral:rRNA from 1 species
GAUGAACGCUGGCGGCGUGCCUAAUACAUGCAAGUCGAGCGAACGGACGAGAAGCUUGCUUCUCUGAUGUUAGCGGCGGACGGGUGAGUAACACGUGGAUAACCUACCUAUAAGACUGGGAUAACUUCGGGAAACCGUAGCUAAUACCGGAUAAUAUUUUGAACCGCAUGGUUCAAAAGUGAAAGACGGUCUUGCUGUCACUUAUAGAUGGAUCCGCGCUGCAUUAGCUAGUUGGUAAGGUAACGGCUUACCAAGGCAACGAUGCAUAGCCGACCUGAGAGGGUGGUCGGCCACACUGGAGCUGAGACACGGUCCAGACUCCUACGGGAGGCAGCAGUAGGGAAUCUUCCGCAAUGGGCGAAAGCCUGACGGAGCAACGCCGCGUGAGUGAUGAAGGUCUUCGGAUCGUAAAACUCUGUUAUUAGGGAAGAACAUAUGUGUAAGUAACUGUGCACAUCUUGACGGUACCUAAUCAGAAAGCCACGGCUAACUACGUG